AGCAAAUAGAUACCCAGGUAGUCCACGCCCUAAACGAUGUCUACUAGUUGUUGGUGGAGUAAAAUCCAUGAGUAAACGCAGCUAACGCGUGAAGUAGACCGCCUGGGGAGUACGGUCGCAAGAUUAAAACUCAAAGGAAUUGACGGGGGGCCCGCACAAGCGGUGGAUUAUGUGGAUUAAUUCGAUGCAACGCGAAAAACCUUACCUGGCCUUGACAUGCCACUAACGAAGCAGAGAUGCAUUAGGUGCCCGUAAGGGAAAGUGGACACAGGUGCUGCAUGGCUGUCGUCAGCUCGUGUCGUGAGAUGUUGGGUUAAGUCCCGCAACGAGCGCAACCCUUGCCAUUAAUUGCCAUCAUUUAGUUGGGCACUUUAAUGGGACUGCCGGUGACAAACCGGAGGAAGGUGGGGAUGACGUCAAGUCCUCAUGGCCCUUAUGGCCAGGGCUUCACACGUAAUACAAUGGUCGGUACAGAGAGUUGCCAACCCGCGAGGGGAGCUAAUCUCAGAAAGCCGAUCGUAGUCCGGAUUGUUCU
rnacentral:rRNA from 1 species